rnacentral:sRNA from 2 species
CGACCAGCGGGGGAUGGCGAUGUCCAGCGCGGCGGGGAUCGCGUCGGUCAGGUCGUGGUGCGUGAGUGCGGAGGCCAGGCAGAUCGUAGCG